rnacentral:misc_RNA from 1 species
CUUUACUCCACAUAUCAUCACCAUUGCAGUAGGAGAAGACAUCGCAACAAAAUUAAUGUCUUUCUCACAGCAAGGACCAAGAGCUAUAUGCAUUUUGUCAGCAAAUGGCGCUGUCUCUACAGUGACUCUCCGUCAGCCAUCAACUUCUGGAGGUGCUGUAACAUAUGAGGGGCGCUUCGAGAUUUUAUGUCUGUCAGGCUCUUACUUGGUCACUAACAAUGCUGGCUCCCGUAAUCGAACUGGUGGGCUGAGUGUCUCUCUUGCUAGUCCUGAUGGCCGGGUUAUUGGUGGAGGAGUUGGGGGGAUGCUUAUUGCUGCAAGCCCUGUACAGGUGAUAGUGGGAAGUUUCUUAUGGGGGGGUGGUUCAAAGACAAAGAACAAGAAAGGGGAAGGCCCAGAAGGUGCCAGAGAGUUGGACCAUCAGACGGUUGAGAAUCCAGUAACUCCAUCUAGUGUUCCACCCAGUCAGAAUCUUACUCCAACCUCGUCAGUUGGUUUAUGGCCUGGUUCACAACCUGUGGAUAUGCGCAACACACACGUCGACAUUGAUUUGAUGCGUGGUUGAUAAUUUCUGUUGAUUGUUUCAUGGGCAAUGUAUAUAUUCCGCUGUUUUCAGCACCACUUAAUCUCAUUUCCUGAAGUCCAGUGAUGAGGAUUGAAGUCGGCUGAUUCUGGGCGUGAAUUUCUCACUUCAUUUAACCUUGACAGACUAUGGGUUGUACUCAUUUUGCAGCUUAAUGACAAUUAGUUUGGAAUUUUAGUGCCUGUGAAUUUAACUCAUCAAUUUUUCAGAGGAUGUUCAAUGACAAUUUCUAAAUCUUUGGCGG